GGUUGCGUCGUGUAAUGGUUACACAUCUACUGAUAAUGAACGGCGACAUGAUUUUGUUGUAGAUGAAGUGGGUUCGAAUCCCGCCGCAGCCU